rnacentral:tRNA from 1 species
GAGUGUAGCUCAAUGGUAGAGUGCUUGCCUAGCAUGCACAAGGUCCUGAGUUCAAUCCCCAGAACCAUACA